rnacentral:siRNA from 1 species
AGUAUGAUGGCGGUUGAGC